rnacentral:rRNA from 1 species
GGGCCCGCACAAGCAGUGGAGUAUGUGGUUUAAUUCGACGCAACGCGAAGAACCUUACCAAGACUUGACAUAUACAGGAAUAUCUGGGAAAUCAGAUAGUUCUUCGGAACUUGUAUACAGGUGAUGCAUGGUUGUCGUCAGCUCGUGUCGUGAGAUGUUGGGUUAAGUCCCGCAACGAGCGCAACCCUCGUGAUUAGUUGCUGCCAAGCAGAACUCUAAUCAGACUGCCGUAGUUAAUACGGAGGAAGGUGAGGAUGACGUCAAAUCAUCACGUCCCUUAUGUCUUGGGCUACACACGUACUACAAUGGCUACUACAAAGAGAAGCAAUACCGUAAGGUGGAGCAAAACUGUAAAAAGUAGCCCUAGUUCGGAUUGGGGGCUGCAACCCGCCCCCAUGAAGCUGGAAUUGCUAGUAAUCAUAGGUCAGCAUACUAUGGUGAAUACGUUCCCGGGCCUU